GGUACCCGUCCAGGCAGCUCUAUCGGGUAGCUGCUGAGAGAUUGGUCACCGCUCAUCCACACCUUGCAGAUAGGGUCGGUUGCAGCCUGGAAUCAUGGGUGAUGGCCCUGAGGAACAAGUUCCAACAACACAGGAAAAAAGCUACAAAACUGCUCGGAGGAAAUGCUAAUUCGAAAGAAAUGCUGUCUGCCAAAGCAAAUGCAGGCACCAUCUGAAGAAGUGGCAAACAACAAAUUGUGCCGUCUUUUUGACUGCAGCCAUCUUACUACAUAUGGAGAAACCGUUGAGUCCUUGCAAAUUCAUAACGAAAGGCUCCAGAAUAAUGCAGCCUGCCACGAUGAAGCAACAGGAAGGCCAAGGUUGCGGGCAACAGCACUGGACAGGCAUAAAGAGCUUCGCAGCCUCACCCUGUCGGAUGCUCUUUUACUGUUUCCAUUUCUUGGAACUGAGGCAUUGGAACAAGCCCUGCUCACACCUUGCCUUGUGAAGAAAGGACUUACUCUACACA